GAUACGGCAUGUCAUGGAUGCCUCGACACACUAUAUGGGACGUGCUAGACAACGAAAGGCCAUGGUAAGCUGUUAUGAUGCUGUAACCCAUGGAUUUCCCUGGAGAAAACUCCAUAGUAUACACCAUACCCAGCGAACUGAAACAUCUAAGUAGCUGGAGGAAUAUACAUCAACCGAGAUUUCGUUAGUAGCGGUGAGCGAAAACGAAGUAGGCCUGUAAAGUACUAUAUGUUCUAUCUACCUAAAUACCUGGUAUGGUAUGCCAUAGAGGGUACUAGCCCCGUUGGUAUUGAAUAAAACAAUACAUAUGCUUUACACUAUGAGUACCACGGAUACUAACUCUGUGGGAAUAUAGGGGAACCACCCUCUAAGCCUAAAUAUAUAUGUGUGAUCGAUAGUAUAGAGUACCGUGAGGGAAAGGUGAAAAAGUACCCCGAGAGGGGAGUGAAAAGUUCCUGAAAUGGCAUGCCCACAAGCAGUCGAAGCUCCUUUGAGUAACGGCGUACCUUUUGCAUAAUGGGUCAGCGAGUAGAUAUCAUCUGCAUGCCUAAGCCAUUGGGUGGAGGCCUAGUGAAAGCGAGUUUACAUAAAACGUUCCGUAGAUGAUAUCUGACCCGAAACCAAGUGAUCUCGUUAUGUGCCGGUUGAAGACGUAGUACAAUACGUCGAAGGACCUCACUCACGUCUGUGGCAAUAGGCGGAGAUGACAUGUGACGAGGGGUGAAAAGCCAAUCGAACUUGGAUAUAGCUGGUUUUCUGCGAAAUCUAUUUAGGUAGAGCCGAUACAUAUGUACCCUGGGGGGUAGAGCACUCGUUGGUGACAGGUGGCCCAAAGCCUGACUGUCUCCAGAGAAACUCCAAAUACCCAGUGGUAGACCGUAUCGAGACAGACAUGGAGUGCGAAGGUUCCAUGUCGAGAGGGAAACAGCCCAGAUCGAUCGCUAAGGUUCCAAAACCGUAUCUUAGUGGAUAAGGAUGUUCGUGGACAAGGACAACCAGGAGAUAGGCUUGGAAGCAGCCAUUCUAUGAUGAUAGCGUAACAGCUCACUGGUCGAUGUCCAUGGGCGCCGACAAUGUAUCGGAGCUUAAGAUACGUACCGACGCGGCGACUUCGUGAUAUACACGAGGGGUAGCAGAACGUUCUGUGGGUCAAGGACGUAUACACGUAAGUGUGUAUUAAGAUCUCAGAAGUGAGAAUGCUGACAUGAGUAACGACAUAUCAUGUGAAAACCAUGAUCGCCGAAUAUUCAAGGGUUUCUACAGUACGGUAUACGGUGUAGAGUUAUACGGUCCCUAAGAAUCUGGUGAACACCAGGGUUCAAUGGGUGAUAUCACGUGACGGCUUUUCCCCCCUAUACACCAUGUGAAUGGAAUCAUGGGUAUAGGGAAUAAAGUCCAGGAAAUAGCGUGAUCUCGAGAUCAACCGUACCCCAAACCGACACAGGUGAAUUGGUGUACGUGCACUAAGGCGAUGAGUUACGUAUAUUGAAGGAACUCGGCAAAUUACCUCCGUACCCUAGGAAUAUGGAGGGCCAUAUCGGUGGCACAGAAUAGGGGGUAGCGACUGUUUACUAAAAACACAGGACUCUGCUAAGUGGUAACACGACGUAUAGGGUCUGACACCUGCCCGGUGCUGGAUACCGAACAGGACAGGUUCACGCUUGAAAUCGAAGGUCCAGUAAACGGCGGCCGUAACUCUGACGGUCCUAAGGUAGCGAAAUUCCUUGUCGGGUAAGUUCCGACGUGCAUGAAUGGUGUCACGACUGCCCCGCUGUCUCCAAUAUACACUCAGUGAAAUUGAAUUCUCCGUGCAGAUGCGGAGUUCCCAAAGGUAGACGGUAAGACCCUAUGCACCUUUACUGCAAUGUAUCAUUGACACUGGCUUUACGUUGUGUAGGAUAGGUGGGAGCCUUGGCACCCUUGAAAUACCACCCUGCGUAUAGACAGUAUCUCACCCAUCUAUGGGAACCGUGAUACAUGGGUAGUUUGACUGGGGCGGUAGCUUCCCAAAGAGUAACGGAAGCGUGCAAAGGUAAGUUCACAUGGGACGGAAACCCAUGGUAGAGCGUAAUGGUAUAUACUUGCCUGACUGUAAGACCCACAGGUCGAGCAGAGACGAAAGUCGGCCAUAGUGACCCGGGAGUACCACGUGGAUGGGCUCUCGAGUAACGGAUCAAAGGUACGCUAGGGAUAACAGGCUAAUGACUCCCAAGAGCUCCUAUCGACGGAGUCGUUUGGCACCUCGAUGUCGACUCAUCGCAUCCUCGAGCUGAAGAAGGUUCGAAGGGUUCGGCUGUUCGCCGAUUAAAGCGGUACGUGAGUUGGGUUUAAUACGUCGUAAGACAGUAUGGAUCCUAUCUCCUUUGGGUGUUGAAAACUGCGGAAAGCAUAUCCUUGUACGAGAGGACCGGAUAUGACAAACCUAUGAUGGACCAGUUGUUUCGCCAGAAGCACCGCUGGGUAGUUACGUUUGGGGGUAACAACUGCUGAAAGCAUCUCAAGCAGGCAAUCCCUAUCCUAAACAUGUUUUCACAAUCGUAAAAGAUCAUUACGAAAUAGGUGGAACGUCUAAGCAUAGUAAUAUGUGCGCCUAUCCAUACUAAAUACAAUAUUCUAUUCU
rnacentral:rRNA from 1 species